UACGGAGGGAGCUAGCGUUAUUCGGAAUUACUGGGCGUAAAGCGCACGUAGGCGGCUUUGUAAGUUAGAGGUGAAAGCCUGGAGCUCAACUCCAGAAUUGCCUUUAAGACUGCAUCGCUUGAAUCCAGGAGAGGUGAGUGGAAUUCCGAGUGUAGAGGUGAAAUUCGUAGAUAUUCGGAAGAACACCAGUGGCGAAGGCGGCUCACUGGACUGGUAUUGACGCUGAUGUGCGAAAGCG
rnacentral:rRNA from 1 species